rnacentral:rRNA from 1 species
UGGGGAAUAUUGGACGAUGGGCGCAAGCCUGAUCCAGCCAUGCCGCGUGAGUGAAGAAGGCCUUCGGGUUGUAAAGCUCUUUUACCAGGGACGAUAAUGACGGUACCUGGAGAAUAAGCCCCGGCAAACUUCGUGCCAGCAGCCGCGGUAAUACGAAGGGGGCUAGCGUUGUUCGGAAUUACUGGGCGUAAAGCGCACGUAGGCGGAUUGUUAAGUCAGAGGUGAAAUCCCGGAGCUCAACUUCGGAACUGCCUUUGAUACUGGCAAUCUAGAGUCCGGAAGAGGUUAGUGGAAUUCCCAGUGUAGAGGUGAAAUUCGUAGAUAUUGGGAAGAACACCAGUGGCGAAGGCGGCUAACUGGUCCGGUACUGACGCUGAGGUGCGAAAGCCAGGGGAGCAAACGGGAUUAGAUACCCGAGUAGUCCCUGAGCGGGCUGGCAAGGCGCAU